AAAGGAAUUGACGGGAUCCCGCACAAGCAGUGGAGUAUGUGGUUUAAUUCGACGCAACGCGAAGAACCUUACCAGGACUUGACAUCCAUAGAAUCCGACGUAAUGGUUGGAGUGCCCUUCGGGGAGCUAUGAGACAGGUGGUGCAUGGUUGUCGUCAGCUCGUGUCGUGAGAUGUUGGGUUAAGUCCCGCAACGAGCGCAACCCUUACCUUUAGUUGCUACGCAAGAGCACUCUGGAGGGACUGCCGUUGACAAAACGGAGGAAGGUGGGGACGACGUCAAAUCAUCAUGCCCCUUACGUUCUGGGCUACACACGUACUACAAUGACGUAAACAAAGGGAAGCAAUAUCGCGAGAUGGAGCAAACCCCCAAAAGACGCCCCAGUUCGGACUGCAGGCUGCAACCCGCCUGCACGAAGUUGGAAUUGCUAGUAAUCGUAGGUCAGCAUACUACGGUGAAUACGUUCCCGGGAUUUGCACACACCGCCCGU
rnacentral:rRNA from 1 species